GGUGGUUCUCAGGUGACGUACCCUGGAAUCGGGCUCCCUCAUCUCUAGUUCUUGGUGUGUCACCCAAGAACCACU
rfam:Myotis davidii contig158863, whole genome shotgun sequence.